rnacentral:rRNA from 1 species
GGAUGCGAUCAUACCAGCACUAAAGCACCGGAUCCCAUCAGAACUCCGAAGUUCCGCGUGCUUGGCGAGACUAGUACUAGGAUGGGUGACCUCCUGGGAAGUUGUUGUGUUGCAUCCU